AGACGGGGGCGCACACCGGCUACGGUCUCUCUUUCUGCUGACGCCACGACGUUUGUAUUUGCAUCUUGCAGCUGGGUCUGGCGCCUGGGCCUAGCAGAGCGGAGCCGGUGCGAUGCUGAGCCGGCGGCCUGGCCUUCCAGCCCCUCCGUGGGCGCCGCGCACACCUGAGGGAGCCGGACCGGGGAUGGACAGAAUGUCGAGCAGGAGGCCCAGGAUCCCACCCUGAGGUAGGGAAUUUCGAGUGGAGGACUUCUCGCAGCCCUGGCCUCCCAUGAGUCCAUUUUAGGAGUGUCCCUUCCUCAAGUUUGGAGGACCGAGUGCUAGAAUGCAAUGUUGGCAGCAGUGGAGAAGGAGGAGGCUAUCUCCAGAGGAGUGCCCAUCAACUCACAAGAUUCUGACUGAAGGCCACCUCAUGAAAAAACUCCCUAGUGUGUCUGCCCACCUUGUCCUGGUCAGGCACCUCUGAUAUCCUGCCCCACAGGACAUUUACACUACUUAAUAAAUUUGUUUCCAAAA